rnacentral:tRNA from 2 species
GCGAGAGUGGUGGAAUGGCAGACACGCGGGACUUAGGAUCCCGUGGCUUCGUCCGUGUGGGUUCAAAUCCCACCUCUCGCACCA